GACGAACGCUGGCGGCGUGCUUAACACAUGCAAGUCGAACGGAAAGGCCCUGCUUUUGUGGGGUGCUCGAGUGGCGAACGGGUGAGUAACACGUGAGUAACCUGCCCUUGACUUUGGGAUAACUUCAGGAAACUGGGGCUAAUACCGGAUAGGAGCUCCUGCUGCAUGGUGGGUGUUGGAAAGUUUCGGCGGUUGGGGAUGGACUCGCGGCUUAUCAGCUUGUUGGUGGGGUAGUGGCUUACCAAGGCUUUGACGGGUAGCCGGCCUGCGAGGGUGACCGGCCACAUUGGGACUGAGAUACGGCCCAGACUCCUACGGGAGGCAGCAGUGGGGAAUAUUGCACAAUGGGCGGAAGCCUGAUGCAGCAACGCCGCGUGCGGGAUGACGGCCUUCGGGUUGUAAACCGCUUUCGCCUGUGACGAAGCGUGAGUGACGGUAAUGGGUAAAGAAGCACCGGCUAACUACGUG
rnacentral:rRNA from 1 species